UAGUUAUAAGGGGUUAUGAAAUAAUGGGAACAAAUAUUACACCACAAAAUGAGAAUCUAACUAAUUUUUACAUGAGACUAUGGAAUUUAAGUAUUUCUAGUAAAAUUUGCAUACAUUUUUGGAGAGUUAUCAAUGAUUUUGUCCCAACAAGAGGGGUGCUGAAGUCCCGCAAGCUCGCAGUAAAUUCACUGUGCCUGGUUUGUGAAUUGGAGAAAGAGUUGGUGGUUCAUCUUUUCCGCGAUUGUGGUUUUUCUAAGCAAGUUCUGGAGGGAGUCGGUGUGGAUCGCUCGACAGAUAAUAUGCAAAACAGUUGGAAACAGUGGUUAGUCGAAAAGUUCAUGAAAGCCAGCAUAUUGGAGUGUAGGAAGUUAGCCAUCUCAUUCUGGGCGCUGUGGUACAACUGCAAUAAAAUUAACCAUGAGGGCGUUAGGGAUAGAGUGCAGGAUGUUGUGAGGUUUAUAAAUGCAUAUUUAAUGGAAAUUGAUCAGUUGAACAACUUAUCACAAUCUAUUUUUACUCCUGAACAAACAGCUUGGGAGCCACCGGAGGGGGAUGCUAUUAAAUUUAAUUUUGAUGCAUCCUUUAGUUAGCAGUCCUAGACGUCAUAUUCGAGGGUCAUAGUACGAAAUAGAGAAGGUUUGGUCAUGGGUUCAUGCACAUACCUAUGGAAGAACAUUCCAGAUCCGACUAUGGCUGAGGCGAGGGCGUGUUUUAAAAAAGAGCUGGGUUUUAGAGAUGUGUGUGUUGAGGGGGACGCUCUUACUGUAAUUCGAAAGCUAAAAUCCGCAGAAAAGGAUAGAUCUAUUGUGGUACAAUCAUCCAAGACAUAAAAUAGAGAACAGGUCAGUUUAGGAGUUUUCAGGCUAGAUUUGUACCUCGGGGGGCCAAUGCGGCAGCGCAUGGGCUGGCGAUGGAGGGUAGGAAGUAUACUUGGCCUAUGUAUUGGAUUGAGGAGGUUUCAAGGGCUGUGGAAUGGCUUGUUGAUAAGGAUCAGAGUGGGAGUAGGGCAAAUGAUCGUUUGUAAAGGCUGAGUCCGGAUUGAGGGGCCUGAUUUGUCUGGCUUGGGGUUGUCUAGUCGUGUUGUUAAUGGAGUUUAAUUUCUUAUGGUUACCCCCUUUGUACUGGUGUUUAGGAGCGUGAAUGGGUUUUGGAGAAGAGGAAUCUGUUCGGGGAUCGUUUCAUUUCUUCUUUUGAUUUGUUUUUGUUUUUGCUGGUUUUCAUUUGUUGUUUGUGGGCGUGAUCAAUGCGCCUGCUGUUUUCGGGUCCCUAGGCGCUGUUCUGUUAGCCAAUGUGUGGGUAACACCUCAAGAACGCAACCUACUGCCAAUUUAUAGGCUCAUUCAAUUGUUCAUCCAAUCGAUAUUGGUAAGCAUUUAUCAUCAAGUUGAAUGCUUGUUUCAUCUUGAAUAAUUGUCUCAUAACAACUUUAAAAUUCUCUUAAGGAGUAAGAAUAAUGAUACAUUUUAAACUUCUCCUUCCUCCUCCAUCCUCCAAGCUAGUCGGUUGAAAGAUGAUGAUCAUAACAUGUAUUAGCACG
rnacentral:lncRNA from 1 species